rnacentral:snRNA from 1 species
AUACUUAACUAGCAGGGGAUAUGCCAUGAUCAUGGAGGCAGUUUUCCCUGGGUGAGGCUGAUCCAUUGCACUCUGGAUGUGCUGACCCCUGUGAUUUCUCCAAAUGUGAGAAAAUUGACUGCAUAAUUUGCAGCAGUGGGGGACUGCAUUUGUUCUCUCCCCUG